UACAGAGGGGGCAAGCGUUGUUCGGAAUUACUGGGCGUAAAGGGCGCGUAGGCGGCCUGCUAAGUCGAACGUGAAAUCCCCGAGCUCAACUCGGGAACUGCGUCCGAUACUGGCAGGCUUGAAUCCGGGAGAGGGAUGCGGAAUUCCAGGUGUAGCGGUGAAAUGCGUAGAUAUCGGGAGGAACACCUGUGGCGAAGGCGGCCCCCUGGUUGGAUACUGACGCUGAUACGCGAAAGCGUGGGGAGCAAACAGG
rnacentral:rRNA from 1 species